UACGUAGGGGGCAAGCGUUAUCCGGAUUCACUGGGUUUAAAGGGCGCGUAGGAGGGCAGGUAAGUCAGUGGUGAAAUCUCCGAGCUUAACUUGGAAACUGCCGUUGAUACUAUCUGUCUUGAAUACCGUGGAGGUGAGCGGAAUAUGUCAUGUAGCGGUGAAAUGCUUAGAUAUGACAUAGAACACCAAUUGCGAAGGCAGCUCACUACACGAGCAUUGACUCUGAGGCACGAAAGCGUGGGGAUCAAACAGG
rnacentral:rRNA from 1 species